AUGAAUGAUCUACGUCAAUAUACGUAUAGGGCACGUUUUAAUGGAUUCCAAGUUUUAUCGGUGUGGGGGAUUGCUGGUGUUGGGAAAUCAGCUAUCCUCACAUGCUUGUUCUGCGACAGAAUUCUCGAGAAAACGAGGAGGACGCAUUUUGACAAGUAUGCUUGGGUGGAUGUAUCGUAUCCAUUCAAUUUGAGGGACUUUUCUCGGAGUUUACUACUCAACUUCCACUCCCAGCAUCUGCAAGCCCCAAAUGAACAUGAUAUUGACACGGUUACCAGGAAGAACGAAUCAUCCCCUUUAAAAAAUCAUGACCCAACUAUGGAGGUUCAGCUUCACAAACUUAUUCUGAAGUGCGGAGGUCUUCCCCAAGUGAUAAUUGCUAUUGCUGGCUUAUUGGCCUCACUGAAGCCUGACACAACUCCCCUCGCAAAAGGAGAAAAAAAGGCUGACACAUUCAAGGAUACUGUUCAUUAUUUGAACGAUGAAUUUAUGCAUCAUAUGGAGGGUAACCCGGAGUUUGUUAGUCUGCGGGGUCUCUUUAGCUGGAUGAACUCCGUCAUACUUAAUCCCCCAGAUUUCCUCAAGCCAUGUAUCUUUUACCUCAAGAUUUUUCCUCCAAACUGUCACAUUCGUCGGAGACGGCUCAUAAGGCGGUGGAUCGCAGAGGGCUAUUCAAGAGAAUUAUUGGAAAAACAUGCUGAAGAGAAUGCCGAGAAGUCCUUCACACAGCUCCUAGAAAUGAGCAUAUUCCAGCAGGUACAACAACUAAAUGGCACAAUACAGAAUGACACGAGGAUGGCUGUUUACCAGAUUCAUGGUUUCAUUGGAGAGUACAUCGUAUCACGGCGAAUGGAAGAGAACCUUGUGUUUGAACUGGGGGGCAGGAGCUCCGUCUUAACCAGCCAAAGCACAGGGCGUCACCUUGUCAUAUCAACAAGCUGGGACAGAGAUAGAAUUGUGUUCGAGAGCAUCGACUUCUCACGGCUACGGUCGCUGACAGUGUUUGGCAAGUGGGAAUCAUUCCUCAUCUAUGAAAGCAUGAAGAUGCUUCGGGUGCUUGAUCUAGAGGAUGCAUCAGGUAGUGUUGAGUAUGAAGAUCUUGAGAAGAUGGUGAAAUUUCUGCGUCGCCUCAAGUUCCUCUCACUGCGAGGACGGCGUGAGAUCAACCGCCUACCAAGCUCACUAGACCAUCUGAGACAGCUACAGACUCUGGAUGUAAGGCACACCUCCAUAGCCACCCUGCCGGAGAGCAUUACCAAGUUGCAUAAGCUACAAUACAUACGUGCCGGCAGCACUGACGUCCCGGCGUCAGCAGCACCACCACUUGCUUCAUCCAGCUGGUUCUGCAGACGCCUUCCCAUUGUCGGUGUUGUGAUGCCUAGAGGGAUUGGAAAACUGACGGCGUUGCACACGCUUGGUGUUGUCGACGUCGAUGCUUCAGGGUCAAAGACCUUUGUGAAAGAUCUCGAGAAGCUCACCCAAUUACGCAAGCUCGCAGUGUCUGGCAUCAACAGGAAGAACAGCAAGGAGUUUUUCUCUGCAAUAAAAGGUCAUGUAAAUCUGGAGUCCUUGUCAGUGCAGCUUGACAAGGAAACCUAA
rnacentral:rRNA from 1 species